ACCUAACUGUUAAGUCAGAGAAGG
rnacentral:piRNA from 1 species